UCAAUAAAAUAGUGCUUAUUUAUCCUAGAUGUAAGGUUUAUUUUUCACAUGAUUUAUAGAUUGUUAAUUGUCUAUUCACUCUAUUGCAGUGGAAAUUUUGUUAUAUGCUCCACCUCGCCCACUUAUAGACUUCUCAGUUGCAUUUUUGUGGUUGAUGUCUGUUGGAACAAUUGUAUGUGCUUCACUGUGGUCUGAUCUAACUUCUCCUGAGCAGUAUGAUGAACGCUAUAAGGAAUUAUGUCUCAAGGUUUUUCCUUGCAACCCUAUACCUCCCUUAAAGUUUAUAUGCACUUAAAUGUUUCCUUCAGAUGUCUUAACUUAAGAAAGCACUUUUCUUGGUGUGACGACAUGCUUAUGUAGAGCAAAAUCACCUAAUUGAACAAUGCUGAAAUGGGAAAUGUAAAAUUACAGACUUACCUUGGCAUGUCUACUAGUCUACUUCUUUCUUUUAUCUUUGAUUUCCUUGCUGUAGCCACUGACCGUUCACUUAACUAUUACAAUGGAGUGAACAAGCACGCGUUCUUUCUUUCGUUUUGUUUACUUAAUGAUUCAAUACAGAUUUUUUUGAGCAUAUUUUUAACACCUUCAAAUUUAUUAAUUUACUUAUUUGUACAUAUAAUUUUGUUUCCUUCUGCUAGGAAUCUUCAAAUGCUGAAACAGCUAAAUAUGAUUCUGAUAAAGAAAUUGUCAACAUCGAUACAAGGGGUGCUAUCGUUUUUGUAUUAUCAGGAUCUGUUUUUCUUCUGCUAUUGUACUUCUUCAUGUCAUCCUGGUUUAUCUGGGUGCUCAUUGUACUUUUCUGCAUCGCUGGUAUUGAGGUAAUGUGCUUAUUUUCACGGCUAAGCCCUACUCUUGCUAAUUGAUAGAAGAUCAUAUUUCAUAGUUUGCUUGAAGAUGGCUUUGGUUCCCGAUCAUUGUCUGUGAUUAAAUAUACUGUUUAUGUAUAAACUGAAACUUUGUAUUAAUAGUAUGCAUGUGCUACUCAAUUAUACUAUUAGCCUUGUUGAAUUUCAUACACAACUUAUACAAUUGUAAGGGUUGACAGAAAGAGAGUGAAAGUCUGUCAGAAAAAGGCUUUACAAGUACUAAUAUGUAUUUGAUCAGUAUAAAAAAAAUUAGCACAUACAUUAAAAGCUUUAAAUUUCUUCUCUGCACCAAAUAAAGUUUGCUGUCAUUUUCAGGGCAUGCACAACUGUAUUGUAAGCCUCACUUUAAGGUACAGACAAAUGGAUGUACUUUUUCUCUCUCCCUAUCCAAUUAAGGAAAUCAGUGUUCUUUUUUUUCAUCCCAUGUGUUCUUUAAUUCCUCUUUCUCUAUUUCUUUUCCUAAUGUGAGCAGAAAAAGUCAAAACUGGAGUCAGAAGGUAGUGAAUGUACCUUGGUCUGGGGAGGUUUCUAUUUACUCGCUGGUAGUGUUAUUAUUCUGUGUGGCAUUUGCGAUUUUCUGGGCUGCUACGCGACAGGAAUCAUAUUCAUGGGUUGGCCAAGAUACUCUUGUAAGUUUUACAUUCUAGUACCUUCAAAAUGGAUCUUUAUAUUAUCAUUGCAAAUUCUAAACUCAAACUUUAAGACACCAAGGUAAGCAAUGAAAAGUAUUGUUCAAGUGUCUAGGCUUUUGAAAUCUAGUCUCGUUUCUUGUAAGUUGUCCAUGAAUAAUGACUGCAUUGGAAGUUGAGAGGGAGCCAGGUGCUAUGUAUGAGGAACUAGGCAAGUAACAAUUGUUUUCUUGUCUAGGUCUUCCUAGUGUUUAAAUGUGCAUGUUUUCUAUUACAAUCUCAAUUUUUUAACUGAAUUUGCUUUUACACAUGCAUACAUGUGCAGAUACGCGAUUUACAUACAUACUGGCACAUACACAUGUAUGCACUAUGUAGAUAGAUCUUGGUGGAAAAUAUUCUUUCUAAUUUAGGAACAAUGAAGUAGUUACUUCACAAGAUACCCUAGACUAAUCGAACGAUUUCAAGUAGUCGUAGAAUAGAACGAAGAUCGUAGAAUGUUGUAGGCUAUGCUUGCUCGAACAUCCAACUCAAAACCUGCUCGCUUGAAUUCCAGUUCCCUACUGAACAACAAAAACAAAGUAAUGCUACUUUCGAGAUAAAUCAUUUUGACUAGGAAUUGUAGUGUAAUACAUAGGCUUAGCAUUCCUUUUACUUACUGAAUUCCUACCUUUUUUAUUUCGCAAAAGAGUUAUAUGUUAUCUUUGAUUGUUCUCUUUUGUAGUAACUACCACAGUAGGAUAGAGGAUGUGAUUAUUAUACUAUGACCACGGCCAUGAGAGGUCUCAGGACGACUCAUUCUUUGAACAUUGUUGAGUAUUUGAGUUGUUCUUUGUUCCUAAACCGUGACUAACUCCUCAAUUGACUGCACCUCUCUUGGUUCAUAAUCAUUUAUGGAAAUUACUUUCCUCUCCACCCUCCAUUUUCUUUCUUCUUAUUGCUCUUUUGAUUUUUUGUUGUUACUGUUCCUAUUCCUCCUACUAUAAACGUUGGUUAUAGGUCUAGCUCUUCUUAUUUGUGUUCUCAUUUUGCAGUUUUAUGGAUCCAUUGCUCUCUGUGUGCGUGGUGGUUGUGACUUCACAACCAAAGCUCAAUUUGCUCAAUCCGCAGGUGCUACUGCCAUAUUAGUCAUAAAUGACACAGAAGGUUACUUUUACUUCUUCACACUUCCAUUCCUUUUUAUUCAUUAUCUCAUAUCUAAUUAUGUUUUUUAUUUCUCUCAGAUCUCUUUGAGAUGGUCUGCUCCAAUGCCACUCACCCAAAUAUUUCAAUUCCAGUUGUCAUGAUACCAAACUCGGCUGGACAAGCUUUCAACAAAUCUCAAACCAAAGGUAAGGCCUUCAAUUAUUACAACUACUCUCUUCUCUCUGCUAAUCAUACUUACCUUUCCUCUAUUUAUUAAACAUUCUUGUUUAAGCUCAUUCCAAAUUUACGCCUUAAAUCUUCAUUUAUGAUACUGCAAUUCACCUUCUAAUUUUAUUUCUUUUUUUUUAUCAAAACAAUAAAACAUUGUUAUACACGUUGAGGAUGCAAAUAUGACCCCCCUUUGACAAUAGUAAGAUGUGUACCGAUUCGAUGCUGUUGAUUGACCUAUGUAACUGACCCCAUCCAAUGGGAUAAUUAUUCACAAUUACUAGGCCUAGUAUAUGGAAAGCUUAUGUCUACCACAAAGACGUAAGCUUAAAGAUCAAAACGCAUAUGGAAGAUAGUAAUAUCACAUAAUUGGUUGCAUUACCAUGUGUUAUUUUAAUGGGAAUAUGCUCCUCUUACUAGACACAUCAAUGCACGCACCCGUGCAUUCUCAUACAUCCUUCCAAUAAAGAAGAUUUGAAAGAAAAUUUUGACUCGUAUUAUCAAUAAAAUAGUGCUUAUUUAUCCUAGAUGUAAGGUUUAUUUUUCACAUGAUUUAUAGAUUGUUAAUUGUCUAUUCACUCUAUUGCAGUGGAAAUUUUGUUAUAUGCUCCACCUCGCCCACUUAUAGACUUCUCAGUUGCAUUUUUGUGGUUGAUGUCUGUUGGAACAAUUGUAUGUGCUUCACUGUGGUCUGAUCUAACUUCUCCUGAGCAGUAUGAUGAACGCUAUAAGGAAUUAUGUCUCAAG
rnacentral:lncRNA from 1 species